UACAGAGGUGGCAAGCGUUGUUCGGAAUUACUGGGCGUAAAGGGCUCGUAGGCGGCCGACUAAGUCCGACGUGAAAUCCCAAAGCUUAACUUUGGAACUGCGUCGGAUACUGGAUGGCUUGAAUUCGGGAGAGGGAUGCAGAAUUCCAGGUGUAGCGGUGAAAUGCGUAGAUAUCUGGAGGAAUACCGGUGGCGAAGGCGGCAUCCUGGACCGACAUUGACGCUGAGGAGCGAAAGCUAGGGGAGCAAACGGGG
rnacentral:rRNA from 1 species